rnacentral:ncRNA from 2 species
GGAAAUCCGGUGCGAUUCCGGUGCGGUCCCGCCACUGUGGUCUGCCCGGCAGGAGAC